rnacentral:rRNA from 1 species
GACGAACGCUGGCGGCGUGCUUAACACAUGCAAGUCGAACGGAAAGUCCCUGCUUGUGUGGGGUGCUCGAGUGGCGAACGGGUGAGUAACACGGGAGUAACCUGGCCUUGGCUUUGUGAUAACUUCAGGAAGCUGGGGCUAGUACCUGAUAGGUGCUCCUGCUUCAUGGUGUGGGUUGGAAAGUUUCGGCGGUUAGGGAUGUACUCGCGGCUUAUCAGCUUGUGGGUGGGGUAGUGGCUUACCAAGGCUUUGACGGGUAGCCGGCCUGAGAGGGGAGCCGGCAACAUUGGGACUGAGCUACGGCACAGUCUACUAUGGGAGGCAGCAGUGGGGAAGCUUGUACAACGGGAGGAAGCAUGAUGAAGCAACGCCGCGUGUGGGAAGCCGGCUUUCGGGUUGUAAACCGCAUUAGCCUGUGACGAAGCGUGAGUGACGGUACUGGGUAAAGAAGCACCGGCUAACUACGUG